rnacentral:lncRNA from 1 species
CAGGGGCUUCUUUCAUUAAAUCUGGUGCCCUUCCAUUUUGAUCUUAUCAACUACAUAUAUUGGAACAGCUGUCUUAAGCAGAGCUGACCGGGAUCAGUUGGACCCGGUAGAGUUUGGGACCACUGUGAAACCCAGGCCGCGAUGCUCUUUCUGGGCUGAUCCAGCCGUGGUGGAGGGAGGCGAAGUCCUGGUUAUGUUUGUUCAUCCAGGAAGACCAAAAUAGCUGCGACUGUAGGAUGGGUAUCAGUGACGUUCCCAGCCCACUUCCAGCCUAGCCUGGCAGGGCCCUUCCCACCUUGAGACCUCUAUCAGUAGAGGCCUUGGUUAUAUUGUCUCUUGACUUCUUUGACAGAGGCGGAGUUAGACAGUGUCCCCUUUUAACCCCUUGAAGGUCCCUGCACUUCCCACCCCAGACAGGCCCAGCCUCAGAGAAGAGCCUGGGCACCAGCACCCUGGCCCAAGAGAGGGGAUAGGCAGCACAGAGAGCUCAGAGUCUCCAACAAUGGGAAUGGCAGAGCGGGAACAACAGCAGGAGACAACAAAGAGACAAAAGACAGUGUCACUGAGCUUGUGUAUCAAG